AAGCUCGUAGUUGGAUUUGUGGUGCUGCCUGCAGUCCAAUUAGCUUUGGUGCUAGCGGGUGGUGCCAUCUUUGGAUGGAACCUGUAGGGCAUUAGCUUGUUUUGCAGGGGAUAUUCAUCGUUUACUGUGAAAAAAUUAGAGUGUUCAAAGCAGGCUUACGCCGUUGAAUAUACUAGCAUGGAAUAAUGAAAUAGGACUUUGGUACUAUUUUGUUGGUUUGCGCGCCAAAGUAAUGAUUAAUAGGGACAGUUGGGGGUAUUCGUAUUCCAUAGUCAGAGGUGAAAUUCUUGGAUUUUUGGAAGACGAACUACUGCGAAAGCAUUUACCAAGGAUGUUUUCAUUAAUCAAGAACGAAAGUUAGGGGAUCGAAGAUGAUUAGAUACCAUCGUAGUCUUA
rnacentral:rRNA from 1 species